GAGACCUACGUAAGAACAUUGGAAGAAGAU
rnacentral:piRNA from 1 species